rnacentral:tRNA from 1 species
GCCGGAGUGGUGGAAUUGGUAGACACAAGGGACUUAAAAUCCCUCGGGCAUUAGCCCGUGCCGGUUCAAGUCCGGCCUCUGGUACCA